rnacentral:rRNA from 1 species
UACGUAGGGGGCUAGCGUUGUCCGGAAUCAUUGGGCGUAAAGAGCGUGUAGGCGGCCCGGUAAGUCCGCUGUGAAAGUCGGGGGCUCAACCCUCGGAUGCCGGUGGAUACUGUCGGGCUAGAGUACGGAAGAGGCGAGUGGAAUUCCUGGUGUAGCGGUGAAAUGCGCAGAUAUCGGGAGGAACACCAAUGGCGAAGGCAGCUCGCUGGGACGGUACUGACGCUGAGACGCGAAAGCGUGGGGAGCAAACAGG